rnacentral:rRNA from 1 species
GUGGAUUAGAUACCCUGGUAGUCCACGCCCUAAACGAUGUCAACUGGUUGUUGGGAAUUUCGAUUCUUAGUAACGUAGCUAACGCGAGAAGUUGACCGCCUGGGGAGUACGGCCGCAAGGUUAAAACUCAAAGGAAUUGACGGGGGCCCGCACAAGCGGUGGAUGAUGUGGAUUAAUUCGAUGCAACGCGAAAAACCUUACCUGGUCUUGACAUGUCGAGGAUCCUCCAGAGACGGAGGAGUGCCGCAAGGAACUCGAACACAGGUGCUGCAUGGCCGUCGUCAACU